rnacentral:ncRNA from 3 species
AGCCAAAUGCCUCGUCAU